AGGUCUGUAGCUCAGCUGGUUAGAGCACUACCUUGACAUGGUAGGGGUCGUUGGUUCGAGUCCAAUCAGACCUACCA
rnacentral:tRNA from 4 species